UUAGGAAUUUUGGGCAAUGGGCGCAAGCCUGACCCAGCAACGCCGCGUGGGCGACGAAGCCCUUCGGGGUGUAAAGCCCUUUUCGGUGGGACGAAUCUGACGGUACCACCGGAAUAAGCCCCGGCUAACUACGUGCCAGCAGCCGCGGUAAUACGUAGGGGGCUAGCGUUGUCCGGAUUUAUUGGGCGUAAAGAGCGCGUAGGCGGCCGAGUAAGUCCGACGUGAAAUCUGGAGGCUCAACCUCCAGCGGUCGUUGGAAACUACUCGGCUAGAGUCCGGAAGAGGAGAGUGGAAUUCCUGGUGUAGCGGUGAAAUGCGCAGAUAUCAGGAAGAACACCGAUGGGCGAAAGCAGCUCUCUGGGACGGUACUGACGCUGAGGCGCGAAAGCGUGGGGAGCGAACAGGAUUAGAUACCCUGGUAGUCCACGCCGUAAACGAUGGGUGCUAGGUGUGGGCGGUGUCGACUCCGCCCGUGCCGAAGCUAACGCAUUAAGCACCCCGCCUGGGGA
rnacentral:rRNA from 1 species